rnacentral:rRNA from 1 species
AUUGAACGCUGGCGGCAUGCUUUACACAUGCAAGUCGAACGGUAACAGGCCUUCGGGUGCUGACGAGUGGCGAACGGGUGAGUAAUGCAUCGGAACGUGCCCAGAGGUGGGGGAUAACGCAGCGAAAGCUGUGCUAAUACCGCAUGUGAUCUGAGGAUGAAAGCGGGGGACCAGGCAGCAAUGUUUGGCCUCGCGCCUUUGGAGCGGCCGAUGUCAGAUUAGGUAGUUGGUGGGGUAAAGGCCUACCAAGCCGACGAUCUGUAGCUGGUCUGAGAGGACGACCAGCCACACUGGGACUGAGACACGGCACAGACUCCUACGGGAGGCAGCAGUGGGGAAUUUUGGACAAUGGGCGCAAGCCUGAUCCAGCAAUGCCGCGUGCGGGAAGAAGGCCUUCGGGUUGUAAACCGCUUUUGUACGGAACGAAAAGGCUCUGGCUAAUACCUGGGGCUGAUGACGGUACCGUAAGAAUAAGCACCGGCUAACUACGUG